GUACGUGCCUGAUCUGCAUCCCGUGAGGAAUAACAACAGUCUCUCCCGUUUCGCCCAACUUCGCUUCUUCCCGCCGAUCUCGACCGGGAUAAAACGGUGAUAAUUCUCGUUCGUUUCUCGAACGAUGAUUCCCUUCGUUAUUUCGUCGUCGAGCACCCUCUUCAGACCUCGAAUCCCCCGCGAGACUCAAGGGGUUGGUAAGAAAUGUAAAUUUAACCGGGCCAAUAAUCGAAGUUGCGAUUCCAAGCGUGGAGAAAUUAUAAAUUGAUUCGGGGAUGGAAGGAAAGCAAGCAAGAUUCUUACGUAUUUCUCCGAUAUUGCAUAUUUAUUAUAGGGACUUUAGAAUACAAAGAAAUAUCCAUAAGAAUAAUAAGAAAUAGGGAUUAUUCUGAGCAAAUGCAUCGUGGAUUUUUAAGAAUAACUAUAAAUCGAUUUAAUCUUUUCAUUUCCAAAAUUUUGUAUUUGAAUUGGUAAGAAGAGAAAAAAUUUAAAAAAAAGUUACGCGCGGAAUAACGAUGAUUUCUAUCGACUCCUCCACUUACCGGAUUAAUAUGCGCAUACAUAUGCGAUCACGAAAUUUACAUAUCCAUGUAACAUAUGUGGAAUCACUUAUCCUAACACCUGUUCAACAAGAUCGACGAUCCCACGAUAUGUAAUAUAUAUAUAUAUAUAUAUAUAUAUAUUCUCUUCUUUCUUCGAAUCAUCGAUCGCCAAGAAUCAAUGAUCGUGCGAAACGUUGGAGGAAUUCAGAGAGCGAGAAAAAGAUUCGAAAGCAUCCUUUCGAGAUAUCCUCAGGUCCAAUUGGAAGCUCGAUUACCCAGGGACUACUGCAAUUGUACCUAUACUUCCGGGGCCAUUGAUAUUCAACUAGGAGCACGCCACGUGGACAACGGAGAGAUGGAUUUAAAGAGUAAUCCUUUUGCUGCGCUUUAAAAAAAAAUUGUGUUCGGAUUUUG